CCUACGGGGGGCAGCAGUGGGGAAUAUUGCACAAUGGGGGAAACCCUGAUGCAGCGACGCCGCGUGAGUGAAGAAGUAAUUCGUUAUGUAAAGCUCUAUCAGCAGGGAAGAAAAUGACGGUACCUGACUAAGAAGCCCCGGCUAACUACGUGCCAGCAGCCGCGGUAAUACGUAGGGGGCAAGCGUUAUCCGGAUUUACUGGGUGUAAAGGGAGCGUAGACGGCGGAACACGUCAGAAGUGAAAACCCGG
rnacentral:rRNA from 1 species